CAGCAAAGAGCUUUAUAUAGUUAAGCCUCAAGGGUGUUUCUUCUGAAUGCUUUAUAUUGGCCACUGCCUGGCUCAAGAAUACUUUGUGGGUUUUGCUACAGUGGGGGAGCAAAAACAAUCAAGAGGUUAAUACAAAGCUCUGGGUAGAAGCCAACCUUCUUCAGUCCCUUAACUCAAGAUACUGUAAAUUUACUUCAGUGGAGGUGUUACUGUUUGUGUCCCUUUGGAGUGAGUGCUAGUUUUCAUCUGGAUGGAAAAUACUGAAACCUGGUCCCUGUACUCCUGGAGCAUCAGUUGAAGUUUCAGGUACUUUGUGGCUAUUGAGAACAAACAAGGAUUUGCUGUUUUGAUGAAGAAUAGCAAACAAAAACAAAGGGAUCAGGAACCUACAGUUGUGGACAAGUCUGCGAAGCAGUGUUUUAAAUUCUUCCAGCUAUGCUCCCAUAAGGUGUUUUUGCAGACUUGACAGCCCUUUAAAAAAGCCAGAAAGCUGAUUUGCACCCAUCUCCCCCAACAACCUGAUACCUCAGAAUCUGCUUGAUGGCAGCUGUGUACCAGAGAAUGAGGAAGAAAUAAUACAUCCUCUAAGGUUGUGAAGAAAUCUGUGAUAUUUUGCCAAUUCCAUGACCUUCAGCACCUGUGCAGAGGAAAUGAGCUUUCCCAUGAUAACUAGGCAGCAAUUCAAAACAAAUCUAAAGAAAGCAUAUUGAAGAAUGGAAGUAACCUGGCUUGGUGAAUGAAGUGUAUACAUAACCCGUGCUCUGUCUUGGUACCUGAAAGGUGUCAUGUACUCCAGUUCUCAGACUGAUACACUGCAGAAAUACAAGAUCCUGUAUGGUGGCUCAAUUGCAGUGAAGAGUUGCCAGAAGUGGUUAACAGAAAACAGGCAUGAAUUGAAUUUUUGGUUUUGAGUUAAGCAGGAAAAAAAGAAAUGGAAGAGAGAAUAUUUCCCUUGCUCUCUGUUUCUUCCUCUCAUUUUAAUGCAUCUCAAGACUAAAACCAUGAUUUUCAACAAAUACUUUUGAAAAUGGAGCUCAUGAAUUGAUGUCAGCAACCAGAUUAAAGAGAGGACCUAUUCAGUGAGUCGUCAUUGUAUUCACCAAUACUUCCUUCUUCAUACAUAUAUUGGUUCCUGCUUCUAGUAUAAUCAUAAAAAUAGCAGAAGCUCUUGCACCGGUGGCCAUCAUUCCUCUGUUAUGGGCAAGGAAAGAAAAAAGAUGUCCUAUCCCAAGGAAUACAAGAGAGUUAUCAAACAUGGCUGUGUCCCUCUUGCCACUUUGAUGCCAAGGGACUCGUCGAGCUGUAAACCCACAUCAUUGUUUGAGAGGCCAUCAAGACCCAAGCAGACCUACGUGCAGUUUCACAAGGCACCCAGUUUUGGAGACAAAGGACAGUGAUGACUCUUGAUGGUUCACAGAGUUGGGACAGGAUGGAGACACUGCUCACUGUCAGCUCCAGAAGGUCUCAAAAACUCCUAUCUAUUACCUGGACGUUGUUGUCAGCCUACAAAGAACCUCAACCUUUGUGACAAAAUCUUGACACCUGCCAUCUCUUGUCCUCCCUGUCAUCAUAACAGAUCCUGGACCUCACAUUUGUGGACAAGAAACCUGAGACACCACAGACGUCCAGAUGCUGGAGUGGCACAGAAUGGAGGGUAUAAAGGUCAGAAUCACUGUCAACUCCCCAGAGUUGUGAAAAGCACAACCGUAUUUCACCUCCUUCACAAGAACAGCCCUGGAGAUGUGAAAUCUUAGUAGGUGGUAUCUCUUCUGCUCCGUGACAAUAUUUAUUUUUUACUCUCCGUUGAAUGAAGAUUCCUAGCAGAUCAUCCGCACUGUUGAAGGAAGAAGGAAAAUUCGUUUAGUUGUCUAAAGUGUAAGGAUUCAGACCGUAACCUCCAAGCUAAUCCAGCCAUCUAGACUCUCUCAGGUCAGCUGGAUGUGUUAAUGUGCCACCACCAUGACUUUAUGGAUGCUGCCCUCUGCAAGAUUGCUGAGCCAGAAGCUUGCCCCUGCAUGCGUCUUGAGCUGUGCCACUGGAAGAGGACAGUGAAACUCUCAGUGAUCCCACCCUCUCUCCUGCCACCCCCACCUGGGGAGCUUCAACAGAGAAAUCCUCGUAUCAUGGAUGGCUCAUGGCCUGUAUGUCAACUGAACUUUUUCCUGGGAACAGGUUCACCGAAACGAGGGUCACGCUGAUCUUCAACUUGAGAGCAUUUUCUAAUAGGGAUUUGUAAAAGCCGAAGCACCUCAAACAUUUACAGGAACAUGUGAAAACACUGAAGAACAGACACCAGGCUAUAAAUACCGAUGAAGCACUCAGCAAAUGUGUUUGUGAAGACAUCACCUCAUUGUUCAUGCAGUAUUGAAUUUCCCCAUCGCUUGCUGCCAGGACACAUAUGAUGAAACAGAUGCACAAAAUGAGGAAGGACUUGGCAUAAACAAGCGAAGCGUACUGCUCCGUCACGGACAAAUAAACACCGGAUUUUCUAGAACUGUGCGACUGUGGAAAUAAUUUUGCAUCAAGUAGAACAGCCUGAACCUAUGUUAGAAAGAGCAGUAAGGAGAGUCAGCAUCCUAGGACUAAGGAAUUGUCUUCUGGAGUCUGGAAGAAUUGAGUUCAAGCAAACAUCUCUAAAGGUUCCCAUGUGCCAGACAGAGAUGGGCAGUAACACAGACUGACUGUUUCAAAUCACUAAACGGCACAGACUGCAUCACGUGGCCAGGUGAGGAUAUACAGUGACAGACCUUUUUUCCUUUCAGAUGUUGUCGUAGGCUCAAAGAUGGUCAGCAGUAAAAUAGAGGAAAAAUCAGUGACUCACCAAGUCCCACAGAUGUAAUGGGUAACCUUCUUAGAAAGAAUAAAAAUAUAUUCCAAAAGUGAUGAUUUUAUUCAAUUAAAAGCUUAGCUGAAAGCAAGCUGAAUCUGCUAAACACAUUGGAUAUAGAUUACGUUGCAAAAACGUAUGAGUGAAGAGCCAUGAAUUGCACUGCCACUUAUGAAAGUAUUCAUCAUUCUCAGGCUGGUGCCAGAACAUGUGGAAUAGAGCAAGUUAUUUCUGGUUUGCUUCCGCUGUCAAAUUGGUGACAAGACCAUUAUCUCUAAGAUUCUGUUGGAAUAAGGACUGGGUAUAACUUGAUUAACCAAGACGGAUACUGAUAGCUGGGAUAAAGUUCUUAAGAAGAAACUGACCCUGAGAGUAACAAAAGACAAUAGAUAAUAUUUGAUGCAAGCUUGUGCAGAACGGAGUAGCAAACAGAGUGGAAUAGCAUCAUCUAGGAACAGAGUCAAAGAAGCCCAGGUAUGUUGUUACAUGACUUACAAGUAUUCACAGCUGUAGGGACUAAAAAACCAAAACAUAUUCUUACCCUAGUAACUGUUUCCCUUCUCUGUGCCUUUUUGCCUUUAUGAUUGUCCUGGUUUUGCUGGGAUAGCAUUAAUUUUAUUCCUAGCAGCUGGUACAGUACUGUGCUUUGGAUUUUUGCAUGAAAAUAAUGCUGAUAACACACUGAUGUUUUCAUUGUUGCAGAACAGUGCUUCCACAGAGCCAAGGACUUUGCUUCUUGUGCUGCCCUGCCAGCGAGGAGGCUGGGGGUGCACCAGGAGCUGGGUGGGGACACAGGCAGAACAACUGGCCCCAGGAUGUACCAUACCACAGGGCAUCAUGCUGAACAAUAAAACCGGGGGGAGUUGGUCAUGGAGGCUGCUGUUUGCUCAGAGACUGGCUGGCAGCAGUUGUCUGGUAGCAAGCAGUUGCAUUGUGCAUCGCUUGUUUUUUUAAUUUUAUUCCUCUUAUUAUUAUUGUUGUUAUUUACUCAGUAAACUGUCCUUAUCUCAGCCCACAAGUCCUCACACUUUUACCUUUUUUUCUAUUCUCUCCUCCAUCCCACUGGGGAGCAAGCCAGAAGCUGCUGAAAUAGGAAAAAACAAGCCAAAACACCCAAGUGUUGCACAACACAGUUGCUUACCACCAGCCAGUUGAUGCCCAGCCAGUCCCUGAGCAAUGGCAGCCCCCUUGGCAAACUCCCUCCGGUUUUAUCACUGGGCAUGACGUCAUGUGGUGCAGGACCAUCCCUUUGGUCAGCUGUCCCAACUGUGAAAAGUCUUAAUGUGAGCACAGCUUUGUACCAACUAAAACAACAGCAAAAUAUUUAAAAGCAAAAGCAAAAUGGAGUAAUUAGGCUAAAUACAGUUUGGUAUUAGAGUAGUACUAGUAGUACUACUCUAGUAGAGCUUGGUACUAGAGUAGGAGCCUCAUGUCCAUAACCAUACCUGACUUGAGUCCUCAUAUCUAGCCUUGGAGAGGACCUGAGGAGCUGACCUGAGUAAAAUGGAUGUGUCAGAAAAAAAAUAAUAAAUAAAUUUCAACUAUUAAUGACUAAACCAGAAAGAAGAAAAUGUGGGCAGUCUUUGAUUACUUGAAGUUUUGGAGUGCUUUUGUGUAGCCUGGUAGGACUUAUGUUAUAAAUAACUGGCACACCAAGAAGAAAAAUAAAGGGUGUGCGUGCGUGCGUGUGUGUGUGUUAAAUGUUUUGACAUUUCAAGGCCUGAAGACUCUGCUGUGGAUAGAUCUUCAAGAGAGAUAAUAAACUUAAAUUUUCCUAAUUAAAUAAAACAAAAUGUAAUAAGGGAUAUGAGUAUUGCAGCCCUUCCUGUGUGUAAGUUGGAGAAUAAACCAUUUUUGCUUUGGAUGCCUAGCAAAUGUAUGCACUUCAAUCAUCUAGAAAUAAAUUCUUAUUGCUGACCCUUCUACUGGAAUUAAGUGCUGACAGGAACUGUUGGUGUGUGUGUCUGGGGGUGUUUUUAGACCAUGCUAACUAUAGAGAGCGUACACUGUAUGCAUAACACAUUACCUAUAUACUGGCGGACUAAGCAUACAAUACAGUCCAACUACAGCGUGCAUAGCAUGUAGUACAUCACCUGUACACAUGGUGCAUGUAGAACAGUAACCAUACAGAGUGUACAUUCCAUGAAGGCGGCAGCAUUUGUAGAAUAUAGAGAGAGGAAGGGAAGGAAUGAGGGAGGGAAGAACGGACAGACCUUAAUUGUCAAAGAUAGAGGAAUUGUGUUUGUGGCAGUAAACCACCAUCCGCAUUCCUCUGAAAUCACCAUAAAUCCAAUCCCAUUAAGCAGAUCACAAGAUACCCAAGUAAAGCAGUGACAGCAAUACUGGCUUUAUGUGGAAAUUUUUAGCUUACACACAAAAAACUAUUUAUACAGCCGUCUUUGUAAUAAAGACAUCUUUCCCUUGAAAAUAUGAAGAGAAAUGUUUAUGUAUGUGCUAUCCCUGUGUAUCUCCAGUAACUUGGUUUUGAUAUUGAGGAGUCACUUACCGUGUAGUCACCUUUUUUGACAAUAUUCUUCUCUCAACUGGGCAAAAUAAUGCAGCGUGCAAUGGUGAUAGGUCUGCUAUGGACGAACAGCAUAAAAACAACAGAAGACAAACCUUGUUAUCCAUACUUAUAGGUGUACUUGCAAGUUGCUGAAGCUCCCAGAUGAUAGAAGUGCCUGAGUGUCUGGUUGCACCUCCUAGACAAUGAGCACACAGAGGAAAAAAAAAGUCAUCUUGCCCUUUGUCUACGACUUUAGUUACUGCCACGACGUUCACACUUAGGUCUUAAGGUCACAUUGCAAGCAUCCCAUGAGUUCUGGAUCUCUAUCUGAGGAAGGAUCAGGGAAGAACUUUUGACUGCAGCCCUGAAGGAUGAGUACGGACACUUACUUAAAAUGGGUAUGAACAAAGAACUCACCUGAACAGCCUCUGUACAAAUGGAUCACGCUGAAUGAGACAAAGUCGCUCCACUAUCCUGCUGCUUUCACCCCUUUCCCAUCCGCUGGAGGACUGCAGAGAAAGGUAGCAGACUUACCCUUUGCAAUGUUACCCCUUGCUUUAGCUUCCUGGCAAAACCAGAUGGCAAGCUUUCCAAGGUCAAACAGUUUGCCUCCCUGGAAACUAGACAUUUUUCUGCUCUGUGCAGCCACCUUUGAUUAGCCCAAGAGGUCCUAGACAAGCAAAGUGCAAAGGAGUUACAGCAGGCAUGGGGAUGGAGAGGGCAUCACCGCGUUCUUAACUACACUUGCUCACCAAGUGGCUGGAUACAGCCUGGCCUGUGGCAAUUUAUCAUGUUGCAUGUGGUUACUCAGCUGAAGAUAUAAAUUCCUGUAAGCCUUAAGAUGUGAAGUCAUAAAAAAUGAUGAAGUAGCAGAGAAAAUAAGAUUUACAAGACACACCUAAGGUGUAAAUAUGAAUAAAAUAACCCAAACACAUAUAUAGUGAAAUGCUGCCUUGCUCCACUUGCUUUAAAUUCCCAUACAGUGAAAAGGCUGGUUUACCAUUCAUUCUCAAAGCUGUAUGAAAACUCACAACAAUGAGUUGUUUGAAUGGAAUCACUGAAAUUCUAACAUGUUAGAACUGUUCAGGGCUGCUAGGAAUGUCGAUCAACGUUUUUGUUUGUUUUAGAAUUGUCUUCCCUGUGGACACAAGUUUUGCGCUGGGAAGUUUUGCAUACGUAUUUGCAUAUGUAUAGCUAAAGCCUGAGGUUUCUGCAUGAGGUCAAGAUUUGUUGCAGCCAGUGCAUGCCUAGUCUAUAAAAUAAAGAUCAGGCUUUUGAAUUUGGCUGACGUAGGAUGCCUCAUGACUGGUCAGUUUUUCACCUUGUAUCAAAUUCAACAGCCUUGCUGAGUGAAAAAUUCAAGACUUCACCACCCCAAAGCUGCUUCUAAAUACCUUCAGGUGUGGUUGUCCUAAUGUGCAUAACACACCCAGAGCAUCCUUACAGACAGUUGUUCCCUAGCCCUCACUUGCCCAAAUGCUGUAGGUUUUAAAAAAAAAUAAAAAAAAAUCCCUAUUAAGUAUUUUUAGAGCUCAUCUAUAUCAUUUUGACAGAACUAGGUUAGAGAGCAGUAAUAAGUGUGGCUACAUCAGCGGCUGUUGGCAGGAUGGUGGGGAGAGAGAGAGAGAGAGAGAGAGAGACAGAGAGAGAGAGAGAGAGAGAGAGAGAGACAGAGCAUUCGGGCAUGGAGGACAGUUGGGUGUGGAAAGAGAGCGAUAGCUUCCUACCCUGCAUUGACCACUGCAGCAUUGGCCACUACAUGCACAGGCUUGGAGUUGUGACCAUCCUGUGCUAUUCUUACUGAGGCGUUCAGCUCACCACCAUUAGGGUAAUCCAUUGC